rnacentral:pre_miRNA from 13 species
CAACUGCCCAUUAUUACUUUUGGUACGCGCUGUGACGCUUCAAACUCGUACCGUGAGUAAUAAUGCGUGGCUG